rnacentral:rRNA from 1 species
AGCCCAACUCUAGCCCAACCCCUACAAUAAAGCUUAAAAAUCCACUUAACCUUUAAACCAAAACAUUUCUCCAAACUUAGUAUAGGCGAUAGAAAAGACUUUUCAGGCGCGAUAGAGACUUGUACCGUAAGGGAAAGAUGAAAUAAUAAUGAAAAAGCCAAGCAACAGACAGCAAAGAUAAACCCUUGUACCUCUUGCAUCAUGAUUUAGCAAGAACAACCAAGCAAAGCGGACUUAAGCUUGCCACCCCGAAACCCAAGCGAGCUACUUACAAGCAGCUACCUUUUGAGCGAACCCGUCUCUGUUGCAAAAGAGUGGGACGACUUGUCAGUAGAGGUGAAAAGCCAAUCGAGCUGGGUGAUAGCUGGUUACCUGUGAAACGAAUCUAAGUUCUGCCUUGGCCUCCCUCCAAGGACCUUCAACCACCCUAAUGAAUAGAGGCCAAGAGUAAUUUAAAGGAGGUACAGCUCCUUUAAAAAAGAAUACAACCUCCCCUAGCGGAUAAGCUACCUCACAAGUAACAAUUGUGGGCCCUCAAGCAGCCACCAACAAAGAAUGCGUCAAAGCUCCAUUCCCCAAAAAAUACUAAAACCCCACGACUCCCUUCCCACUAACAGGUUAACCUAUAACAAUAGGAGAAUUAAUACUAAAAUGAGUAACUAGGGUAUACCCCUCUUAAGCGCAAACUUACAUUCACACAUUAUUAACAGACAACCAUAAUACUUCCACUUUAACAAGAUUCAUGUAUUUCCUCCCCUGUUAACCCAACCCAGGAGCGCCUACUAGAAAGAUUAAAAUCUGUAAAAGGAACUAGGCAAACCCCAAGGCCCGACUGUUUACCAAAAACAUAGCCUUCAGCCAACCAAGUAUUGAAGGUGAUGCCUGCCCAGUGACUUCAUGUUCAACGGCCGCGGUAUCCUAACCGUGCGAAGGUAGCGCAAUCAAUUGUCCCAUAAAUCGAGACCUGUAUGAAUGGCUAAACGAGACCUUAACUGUCUCUUACAGAUAAUC